ensembl:lncRNA
UGUUAAUGAGCUCAUUAACUGCCGUUGCCCCUCUCUCCCUUGCACCGAACUCAGGGCAGUGGGCUUCAGAGUGAGGAGAGAUCAUCUCUGUGAAGAGCUGUGUUCUUGGAGGGAUGCCUGCGCAGAAGCCCAGGGAGAAAGGAAAUCUCGGACAGCUUUUGUCGUGCCACCGCUUGUUAUCCGCUGCUAGUUGGCGUCGGGAGACUGAAAGCAGAGAGAGCUGACAGGAGAUCUCAGGCUACCUUCCCUCCUAUAAGGAAAUAGUGCCCAUCACUCAAAUGAUGGGGGAAGGCUUCUCUUAGGACUUGAGGCAACAGAUCUACUUAGGAUUCUGAGAAAGAUACAUUCUCGCAUUGCUGGGAAGAAGAGAGCAAAAAGAAAUACAAAACAAACAGCUAUCAUUUGUCAAUAUUGGUUCCAUGCCACAGGUGAAAUUUUCACUAAUUAGAAAUCACCUGGAGGCUGUGCAGCAGAUUGAGUCUUCAGCUGGAAGUGCUUCAUGACAGGUGGCUUACCACAAGGCAACAUCACAAUUACCUAACAUUGCUUGACUUGUGUAAACUCUAAUAACCACUCUCAUUGUUUAAUGACCUGUGCACACAUUCGCACCUCCCCACAGUACACCACAGUCCUCAGUCAAAGAUUUCACGGUUUGUAAUUAAGUAUGAAACACUGUAAGUUUGUAAGAAAGCUUGUAACUAUGAAAGCAUGUAAGCUUGGUUUUAAACUUGAAAAAUUAUUCCUAAAUUGGUAAGGUUGAAAGAUUGUAAGUGCAUUUGAGAGUAUGAAAGUAAACUUGAAAGUAAGCUCCC